GCAGUUGUUUAGUUAGCGUCUUGAAUGAAAAGCCAAGGACAGAAUCCAAAGAAACUGCAGGCUUAUCUGUCCAAAACGCACCAGCCGGCAUGAUUCUUCGCUGGAAUGAACCACCACCUAUCUACCCGAUCCGAACUGAGCACAUUUCCACCUAUAGCACAAAGAAUGAGAAGCGCCGAUAUUUGUCAGCCAAGCGAUAGUUCAAGGCAUUAUAAAAUGAAGUGGCUGUCUACUGCUAUCAUUUUCACUCUGCUUUCUCUCACCUUAGAGUCUUCUCUAAAGUGUAAUUUGUGCACACCAGACGUAGACUGCAGCCCAAGCGAAGAUUGUUC